AUGAAUAUGUCAUUAAUGUCAUCAGCAGCAGCAGUGUAAGGUCUGUUAACUAAAAGAGAUGUGUGUUUAUACUACGUUCGGUCUGAGGGCAGAGGGAGCCGCUAAUGAGAGAGUGCCCCUGACAGGGAUUCCUGUUCCAGAGCCUCCUGGGUCCUACCGAGGAAAAUCAUUUUUUGCCCUCCUUUCUUCUUCCUCACUCUCCCAACCGAAGAUAUGCAACCCCAGCUGACAUUUUGUCAGGAUUUCAUCAACUCACUUCAAAGGGGACAUAGUCUGGGGGCAGCUUCUCCAGCAUAUCAUCAGCCAGCCGGGCCACCACCGCCUCCCGGGUCUCAUCCCCUCCACCAGAGGUGUCCUUGGGUUGGAUGCCUAGGAUGGUGUCCAGCACGUCCUUGGCCAGCUUGCUCUGUCCUGCCCGGAGUCCUUGUGGAGGAUCGUUGGCAAAUUUAAUGGACAUCUGAAGGAGUGUAAUGGGAAACUGCUUAUGAGCCUCGGUGGUCAUCCAGAGGCGGAACGCAUCAUGUACAAGCUCAGUUUCUAUGAUUAUGUCCAUCAGCUCAUCCAUGAAAUC
rnacentral:lncRNA from 1 species